rnacentral:tRNA from 1 species
GGGGUUGUGGCUCAGCAGUAGAGUGCUCGCCUAGCACAUGUGAGGCCCUGGGUUUGAUCCUCAGCACCACA